rnacentral:lncRNA from 1 species
AUUGAGAGAGAAUUACUUUCUUUUGAGAGAAUUUGUGAAAAGAAUGAUCGAUUAUGCCUUUUGGUACCCUUAAUCUUGUGUUAUGGACCAAUUUGGUGAAGGAAAAAGACUCAAAUAUCCUUGAAAAAACAAAAAUAGAAGCUGGAAAAAUAGAGGCACGCGAUGGAGCAGGUGCCACAGGAUCUGGUACAGUGCACUAGAGCAGGAACUUUGGGCUUCACUAUGAUGCACUAUCGGG